ACGGAAGGCAGCAGUGGGGAAUAUUGCACAAUGGGCGAAAGCCUGAUGCAGCGACGCCGCGUGAGCGAAGAAGUAUUUCGGUAUGUAAAGCUCUAUCAGCAGGGAAGAAGAAUGACGGUACCUGACUAAGAAGCACCGGCUAAAUACGUGCCAGCAGCCGCGGUAAUACGCAUGGUGCAAGCGUUAUCCGGAUUUACUGGGUGUAAAGGGAGCGCAGGCGGUACGGCAAGUCUGAUGUGAAAGCCCGGGGCUCAACCCCGGUACUGCAUUGGAAACUGUCGAACUAGAGUGUCGGAGGGGUAAGUGGAAUUCCUAGUGUAGCGGUGAAAUGCGUAGAUAUUAGGAGGAACACCAGUGGCGAAGGCGGCUUACUGGACGAUAACUGACGCUGAGGCUCGAAAGCGUGGGGAGCAAACAGGAUUAGAUACCCUGGUA
rnacentral:rRNA from 1 species